rnacentral:lncRNA from 1 species
UGCCUCUACCACUUGGCAAAGUUACUUCAAAAUGACCCUUGGCUCAUAUAAGCUCUUAAGAGUAAUCAUGUGGCCUUUAUCUCAAGGAAAUACUUGCCCUUUUGUACUGAUGAAUUCUCUUGAUGCCAAUUCUUGUGAAUAUGAUGCAAUGCAAUAUGUAAUGUUUUAUGACCUAAAAAAUGAAAUGAAUGCAUGAAUGGGGGGUGCAAAUUUG